rnacentral:rRNA from 1 species
GACGAACGCUGGCGGCGUGCUUAACACAUGCAAGUCGAACGGAAAGGCCCUGCUUUUGUGGGGUGCUCGAGUGGCGAACGGGUGAGUAACACGUGAGUAACCUGACCUUGACUUUGGGAUAACUUCAGGAAACUGGGGCUACUACCGGAUAGGAGCUCCUGCUGCAUGGUGGGGGUUGGAACGUUUCGGCGGUUUGGGAUGGACUCGCGGCUUAUCAGCUUGCUGGUGGGGUAGUGGAUUACCAAGGCUUUGACGGGUAGCCGGCCUGAGAGGGUGACCGGCCACAGUGGGACUGAGGUACGGCCAAGACUCAUACGGGAGGCAGCAGUGGGGAAUAGUGCAAAAUGGGCGGAAGCCGUAUGCAGCGACGUCGCGUGGGGGAUGACGUCUUUCGGGUUGUAAACCGCUUUCGCCAGUGACGAAGCGUGAGUGACGUAAAUGGGUAAAGAAGAACCGGCUAACUACGUG